rnacentral:lncRNA from 1 species
CUUCAAAUUAUAAUAUAAAAAAAUAAUAUUUACAAAUUGAACAAUGCAAAGUAAUUGCAAAACAGAACUAAUCAUAAAAAUAAAAUUAAUCUUAAUAAAACUCGACCAUCAUCGAACAAUUUCCGACUUUGUCUCCGUCAAAAUAUCAACAAACCUAACCUUUUCUUCAAGUGUAAUGCUUCUAUAUUUGUUUUUUUUCGUUACCGUUCAUUUACUCCUAUUCAACUGCUCAGAUUUAAUUUUUUUUAAAUUGUGACUUGCAAUAGCAGAUCACUUUGGGAGAGGUACCAGUUACUAGGUACAUCAAAAAAGAGUAUUUUUUUAUUUUAAUACAUGGACAAUUUAAAAUUUUAUCUCUACUAUAUUAUUAAAAUUUUUAUUCUCUCUUUAUUUCCUUUUUCUCUCUCUAUCUUUUCUCUCAUGUUUUGGCAUUUCAUAUAAGAAAAGUUUCAAAUUAUUUGACAACAUAAUUUUAAAAGAUAAUUUUUCUUUUCUCUUUGUUUAAUUGUUUAAUAUUACAAAUGAUUUUAAUUUUAAGAA